GGGGUUAUAGAAAAGUUUGCUGUUAUGUUUUGUAAACCAUCCAUUCUUGUAAAUGAUAUGCUAGAUGGUGCAAAUUGGGUUAUAUUAUGGGCACCCGUAGCCUCAUGCAAAUCUUUCUCAUGUGGAUAUCUUUAAAGGGAAGUGAGAGGUUCAGGGCAGACAAUCCAUGGUCCUCAAGUCCUUUUAGUCCAGCAGAAGGGGGCUGCCCAUAAGCCAUGGCACUGACGUUCUUCAUCAGUUUCUUAAUGGUCUUCCCUGCAUGCAUUGUCUCCCAAGUUACCCUCACUGAAUCUGGAGGUGGUAUGAAGAAGCCAGGAGAAACUCUGCAUAUGACUUGUACGGUCUCCGGAUUUUCUGUCACUGACGACAGCUACGCAGUCAGCUUGAUUCGUCAGUUCUCAGGAAAGACCUUGGAAUGGAUUGCACAUAUCUGGGGUGGUGGAACCACUAGAUACAACAGCGCUCUCCAAAGCAGGGUCUCCAUCAGCAAGGACACUUCAAAAAGUCAAGUGAUCUUUCAAUUGAGUGGUUUGAAGCCUGAAGACACAGCUGUGUAUUACUGUGCACGACGCACAGUGAGGAAAUUCUUUUAAGCAAUAAUACAAAAACUAUUCUUCCUUUAAAAAUACAUUAGUCAUUGAAGGGUUUGUGGGUAAAGAAGUAAUUUUUUCCUACUAUCUCUAUAUAUUCAUACUAUCGUGUGUGUGUGUGUGUGUGUAUGUGUGUAUAGCAGGAGCCCCCGAUGGCGCCGUGGGAUAAAAUAAUAGAAUCAUAGAAUAGUAGAGUUGGAAGAGAUCUCAUGGGCCAUCCAGUCCAACCC